rnacentral:misc_RNA from 1 species
AUGAGAACUUGCCCUUCGGGGUAGAUCUCCCACCCUAUGUUUACAUUACCUUCGUUGCUUUGGCAGGCCCGUCUUCGGACCACCGGCUUCGGCUGGUCAGCGCUUGCCAGAGGAUCUCAAACUCUAUAUUUUAUGUUGUCUGAGUAUUAUUUUAAUAAGUUA